CCAACGGCUCUUUUAAGAGCCACCCAACAAUUCUCCAAGAGAGCUG
rfam:Callipepla squamata strain Texas jcf7180005233792, whole genome shotgun sequence.